UUAAUGGUGUUUUCCGUAGAUAUUGUGACUGUUGCAUAACAACGGAAUACCUGGUAGACUCGAUAUGACGGCGUGACUGCUAAUUUAAAAUCAAGACGUGUUCGAACGAAUAUUUUCAGACAGCUUUAUAAAGGAAGACGGAAGUUCUAGAUAACAGAUCUGGUGAGGAGGUUUCAGCGUUAUCAUCGUGACGAAUCUACGGAUAAAGAUGCAGUUUCAAAUUCCAUUGGCCGUCCUUUUAAUCCUAGGAAUGACAUUAUGCCUACAGAAUGUCGAGGGUGGAGCAACGGUCACCAACACCAACCCAACCACUACGGCUGGAAAUGAUACAACUACACAUAAAUCGGGAGCAGUUUCACUCUUAUCCUCGUCACUCGUCUGUGCCAUAUCCCUAGUUCUUGGAUACCACUUAAUGGAUUAACAGGGAAUGAAAUAAAGAAACAAGAAGACCAGCGAGCACCAAGACUUGACGUAGUCCUCCAUUUUUAAGGAUAUUGAUAUGAAAUAAAAACACAUAUUCGGCAAUCAUCGAAUUUCAUACGAUUUUUAAAAAUUAAGCAGAAACAUAUUACAUGGAGAGACGAAAGAGACCAGCAUUUGACGUUGACUUCCAAUGUGUAGGAUGUGGGAAUGAUAACAAAAGAAACAAAAAUAUCGGAAAUGAUGAGAUUGGAAAAACAUUUUUUAGAAGCCUUUUAUACAGAACUGAUAAAAUAAAGUACUAAUACAUACUUUUUUAAAUUGGAUAAUCAGUUUACAAUUGUAAAAGAAACUUUGGCGCAUUAAUAAAUUAUUUACUGACGGUUUGGUGCAUUUGUGAUAAAACUUAAUCGAUAUUUCACUUUUUAACUAUGUGAGGUCAUGUAACCUAAAGGAUGUCACGUGAUUGUACACGUGACGAAUGACUUUAAGGAUACACAUUCGAAACAGUGACUGGAUCAUUUGUGCGUGAUUUUGAGAGGGUGCGUUGUCGACAUAUGCCCAUGAUGAACUGGCCAAAAUGAUUUUUUGUCAUCCAUAGCCUUUUCGGAUUAUCCAUAUGUCGCAAAUGUGUGUUUAUAUUUAUUAAAAGAAAUGUUUUAU